rnacentral:ncRNA from 1 species
AUAACUUUGCGGAUCGCACGGUCUAGCACCGGCGACGGAUCAUUCAAGUGUCUGCCCUAUCAACUUUCGUCGGUACGGUAUUUGCCUACCGAGGUUCUUACGGGUGACGGGGAAUCAGGGUUCGAUUCCGGAGAGGGAGCCUGAGAAACGGCUACCACAUCCAAGGAAGGCAGCAGGCGCGCAAAUUACCCAUUCCCGACGCGGGGAGGUAGUGACGAAAAAUAACAAUGCAGGACUCGUUCGAGGCCCUGUAAUUGGAAUGAGUACACUUUAAAAGCUUUAACGAGUAUCCAUUGGAGGGCAAGUCUGGUGCCAGCAGCCGCGGUAAUUCCAGCUCCAAAAGUAUAUAUUUAAGUUGUUGCGGUUAAAAAGCUCGUAGUUGGAUUUUGGGCGCAGGCGGCCGGUCCGUCGCAAGGCGUGUACUGGACGUCCUAGCCUUCCCUCCGGUUCUCCGCCGGUGCUCUUGACUGAGUGUCGGCGGCGGCCGGAACGUUUACUUUGAAAAAAUUAGAGUGUUCAAAGCAGGCUCUCGAGCCUGGAUAAUGGUGCAUGGAAUAAUGGAAUAGGACCUCGGUUCUAUUUUGUUGGUUUUCGGAGCGCGAGGUAAUGAUUAAGAGGGACAGACGGGGGCAUUCGUACUGUGCCGUUAGAGGUGAAAUUCUUGGAUCGGCGCAAGACGAACGACUGCGAAAGCAUUUGCCAAGAAUGUUUUCUUUAAUCAAGAGCGAAAGUCA